UGAGGAACAUGACCUUCGGCGGGGGAUAGCCGGCCCAACGGCCGGGUAAUACCGCGUACGACCUUUUGGGGACAUCCCCGACUGGUGAAAGCAGCAAUGCGCCGAUGGAGUGCCUCGCGGCCUAUCAGCUAGUUGGUGGGGUAACGGCCUACCAAGGCAACGACGGGUAGCUGGUCUGAGAGGAUGGCCAGCCACAUUGGGACUGAGACACGGCCCAGACUCCUACGGGGGGCAG
rnacentral:rRNA from 1 species